UUGUACGGCCACUGGUUACCAAGGAGACAAUCUGUCUAGAGUCCACAUAUCUGCCUCCAAACCCAUCUUGGAGGUGGGAUCUUCCAUCCGGAUCAAACUAUCAUUCGGGAAUAAGCCAACAGAGAAACCUG